rnacentral:rRNA from 1 species
UGGGGAAUCUUGCGCAAUGGGCGAAAGCCUGACGCAGCCAUGACGCGUGAAUGAUGAAGGUCUUAGGAUUGUAAAAUUCUUUCACCGGGGACGAUAAUGACGGUACCCGGAGAAGAAGCCCCGGCUAACUUCGUGCCAGCAGCCGCGGUAAUACGAAGGGGGCUAGCGUUGCUCGGAAUUACUGGGCGUAAAGGGCGCGUAGGCGGAUCGUUAAGUCAGAGGUGAAAUCCCAGGGCUCAACCCUGGAACUGCCUUUGAUACUGGCGAUCUUGAGUAUGAGAGAGGUAUGUGGAACUCCGAGUGUAGAGGUGAAAUUCGUAGAUAUUCGGAAGAACACCAGUGGCGAAGGCGACAUACUGGCUCAUUACUGACGCUGAGGCGCGAAAGCGUGGGGAGCAAACAGG